rnacentral:ncRNA from 3 species
UACGUAGGGUGCAGGCGUUAAUCGGAAUUACUGGGCGUAAAGCGUGCGUAGGCGGUUUGUUAAGACAGGUGUGAAAUCCCCGGGCUUAACCUGGGAACUGCGCUUGUUACUGGCAGACUUGAGUGUGGCAGAGGGGGGUGGAAUUCCAGGUGUAGCAGUGAAAUGCGUAGAUAUCUGGAGGAACACCGAUGGCGAAGGCAGCCCCCUGGGCUAACACUGACGCUGAUGCACGAAAGCGUGGGGAGCAAACAGG